rnacentral:tRNA from 1 species
UCGGGGAUCGUCUAAUGGUAGGACACCUGGUUUUGGUCCAGGUAAUCGGGGUUCAAAUCCCUGUCCCCGAGCAA